GAGUUUGAUCCUGGCUCAGAACGAACGCUGGCGGCAUGCCUAACACAUGCAAGUCGAACGAAGGCUUCGGCCUUAGUGGCGCACGGGUGCGUAACGCGUGGGAAUCUGCCCUUGGGUUCGGAAUAACAGUUAGAAAUGACUGCUAAUACCGGAUGAUGACGAAAGUCCAAAGAUUUAUCGCCCAGGGAUGAGCCCGCGUAGGAUUAGGUAGUUGGUGGGGUAAAGGCUCACCAAGCCGACGAUCCUUAGCUGGUCUGAGAGGAUGAUCAGCCACACUGGGACUGAGACACGGCCCAGACUCCUACGGGAGGCAGCAGUGGGGAAUAUUGGACAAUGGGCGCAAGCCUGAUCCAGCAAUGCCGCGUGAGUGAUGAAGGCCUUAGGGUCGUAAAGCUCUUUUACCAGGGAUGAUAAUGACAGUACCUGGAGAAUAAGCUCCGGCUAACUCCGUGCCAGCAGCCGCGGUA
rnacentral:rRNA from 2 species